UUAAAGGACCACUAUAGUGCCAGGAAAACAUACUCGUUUUCCUGGCACUAUAGUGCCCUGAGGGUGCCCCCACCCUCAGGGACCCCCUCCCGCCCGGCUCUGGAAAGGGGAAAAGGGGUUAAACUUACCUUUUUCCAGCGCUGGGCGGAGAGCUCUCUGCCUCCUCUCCUCCGAUCCGCCCCGUCGGCUGAAUGCGCACGCGCGGCAAGAGCUGCGCGCGCAUUCAGCCGGUCACAUAGGAAAGCAUUCUCAAUGCUUUCCUAUGGACGCUGGCG